rnacentral:lncRNA from 1 species
CUCACAUUUAGUGUGUUUUCUAGUUUUCUUGUGUUUAUUUAGUAUAUGCUUGUUUUUACCUCUAAUCUCUAUGUUUGAGUGUGUGAAAUAAAGGAUUAGGAAGCAAUUCUAGUGGAGGAAAACAAGCAAGAACUCAAGAGAACAUGUUUUGGGACCAUAAUUGAUNAAUUUGAAGCAAAUACNCAUGUUGGANGCCUUCGGAAUCGCGCAAGAGCC